AAAAACUUAGGAUAACACUUAAACCAUGGGCCUUCAAAGUCCAAAAUAGGGUUGAAACUACCCUAGUUUUUG
rnacentral:tRNA from 1 species